rnacentral:lncRNA from 1 species
CUUCACCAAAUUGGAUCAAGAAAAACAGCAGUGAAGUUUAAAAUCUUCUCAUCAUUGUCACUGACAACAUUUUAAAAUCAGAAGCAGACCAUGCAGUUCAGUCUCUUCGUAUUCUGUAGCAAAACUGACAACAUGCACUGACAGACCAUUUGGUGAGGAUGGACAGCUACGCACUAAGACAUUUACCCAAACCAACAAUAUAUUACUUCUAGGCCACUCAAUAGUCAUCUCAUACUGGUGAAACAAUUGUGCAACUACAUGCAAAUGUUAGUGCAGUGACCCUUUUGUUGUUGUUGUUGUUUUGUUACUUGUUAAGCCAUGUAGAACCCUGAUUUCUAGGUCACUGUUCA